AUGAACGCUGGCGGCGUGCCUAAUCCCUGCAAGUCGAGCGAACAGACGAGGAGCUUGCUCCUCUGACGUUAGCGGCGGGCGGGUGAGUAACACGUGGAUAACCUACCUAUAAGACUGGGAUAACUUCGGGAAACCGGAGCUAAUACCGGAUAAUAUAUUGAACCGCAUGGUUCAAUAGUGAAAGACGGUUUUGCUGUCACUUAUAGAUGGAUCCGCGCCGCAUUAGCUAGUUGGUAAGGUAACGGCUUACCAAGGCAACGAUGCGUAGCCGACCUGAGAGGGUGAUCGGCCACACUGGAACUGAGACACGGUCCAGACUCCUACGGGAGGCAGCAGUAGGGAAUCUUCCGCAAUGGGCGAAAGCCUGACGGAGCAACGCCGCGUGAGUGAUGAAGGUCUUCGGAUCGUAAAACUCUGUUAUUAGGGAAGAACAAAUGUGUAAGUAACUAUGCACGUCUUGACGGUACCUAAUCAGAAAGCCACGGCUAACUACGUG
rnacentral:rRNA from 1 species